rnacentral:rRNA from 1 species
AUGAACGCUGGCGGCGUGCCUAAUGCAUGCAAGUCGAGCGGAACUUAGAAAGCUUGCUUUCUAAGUUUAGCGGCGGACGGGUGAGUAACACGUGGGCAACCUGCCUAUAAGACUGGGAUAACUUCGGGAAACCGGAGCUAAUACCGGAUAAUAUAAAAGAUCACAUGGUCUUUUAUUGAAAGAUGGCUUCGGCUAUCACUUAUAGAUGGGCCCGCGGCGCAUUAGCUAGUUGGUGAGGUAAUGGCUCACCAAGGCGACGAUGCGUAGCCGACCUGAGAGGGUGAUCGGCCACACUGGGACUGAGACACGGCCCAGACUCCUACGGGAGGCAGCAGUAGGGAAUCUUCCGCAAUGGACGAAAGUCUGACGGAGCAACGCCGCGUGAGCGAUGAAGGCCUUCGGGUCGUAAAGCUCUGUUGUUAGGGAAGAACAAGUAUCGUUCGAAUAGGGCGGUACCUUGACGGUACCUAACCAGAAAGCCACGGCUAACUACGUG